rnacentral:rRNA from 1 species
AUUGAACGCUGGCGGCAUGCUUUACACAUGCAAGUCGAACGGUAACAGGGAGCUUGCUCCGCUGACGAGUGGCGAACGGGUGAGUAAUGCAUCGGAACGUACCCAGUCGUGGGGGAUAACGUAGCGAAAGUUACGCUAAUACCGCAUACGUCCUGAGGGAGAAAGCGGGGGACCGUAAGGCCUCGCGCGAUUGGAGCGGCCGAUGUCGGAUUAGCUAGUUGGUAGGGUAAAGGCCUACCAAGGCGACGAUCCGUAGCGGGUCUGAGAGGAUGAUCCGCCACACUGGGACUGAGACACGGCCCAGACUCCUACGGGAGGCAGCAGUGGGGGAAUUUUGGACAAUGGGCGAAAGCCUGAUCCAGCCAUGCCGCGUGAGUGAAGAAGGCCUCGGUUGUAAGACGUCUUUCUAGCCGGAAACGAAAUCGCGCAGGAUAAUACUCUGCGUGGAGUGACGGUACCGGAAGAAGAAGACACCGGCUAACUACGUGCCAGCAGCCGCGGU